rnacentral:rRNA from 1 species
UGGGGAAUCUUGCACAAUGGGGGCAACCCUGAUGCAGCGACGCCGCGUGAGCGAUGAAGCCCUUCGGGGCGUAAAGCUCUUUCGACCGGAACGAUAAUGACGGUACCGGGAGAAGAAGCUGCGGCUAACUACGUGCCAGCAGCCGCGGUAAUACGUAGGCAGCAAGCGUUGUUCGGAGUUACUGGGCGUAAAGAGUGCGUAGGCGGUUUUCUAAGUUCAGUGUGAAAUCUCCCGUCUUAACUGGGAGGGUGCGCCGAAGACUGGGAAGCGAGAGUGUGGGAAAGGCAGGCGGAAUUCCUGGUGUAGCGGUGAAAUGCGUAGAUAUCAGGAGGAACACCGGCGGUGUAGACGGCUUGCUAGACCAUAACUGACGCUGAGGCACGAAAGCGUGGGUAGC